GUCCCUGUAGCACAAUGGAUAGUGCUUUGGACUUUUAAUCCAAAGGUUGUGGGUUCGAAUCCCACCUGGAAUG
rnacentral:tRNA from 1 species